UGUGUAUCUAAAGACCAGUGAAUAAAUUGCUCCAGGUGUUUCUGAAGAAGAGCACCAGCUACCAAGUCAGGACACGUAACGCCUCUGGAAUUCAGGAGAGGAGACGCAGGCACAGGCGCAGGCAGACUCCGGCACAGCCAGGCACCCGUGUGCAGGUACACACGUGCACGGCAGGGUACAGCCCUGCACAGCCCUGCCAAGGGUGGCACCCGCCCACCAGCAGGGUCUGCCGCUGCC
rnacentral:lncRNA from 12 species